rnacentral:rRNA from 1 species
UACGGAGGGGGUUAGCGUUGUUCGGAAUUACUGGGCGUAAAGCGCGCGUAGGCGGAUUAGAAAGUAUGGGGUGAAAUCCCAGGGCUCAACCCUGGAACUGCCUCAUAAACUACUAGUCUAGAGUUCGAGAGAGGUGAGUGGAAUUGUGAGUGUAGAGGUGAAAUUCGUAGAUAUUCACAGGAACACCAGUGGCGAAGGCGGCUCACUGGCUCGAUACUGACGCUGAGGUGCGAAAGUGUGGGGAGCAAACAGG